GACGGGGGAUGCAAGUGUUAUCCGGAAUCACUGGGCGUAAAGCGUCUGCAGGCGGUUUCCUAAGUCCACUGUUAAACCUUGAGGCUCAACCUCAAAUCUGCAUUGGAAACUAGGAGACUUGAGUAUAGUAGGGGUAGAGGGAAUUUCCAGUGGAGCGGUGAAAUGCGUAGAUAUUGGAAAGAACACCGAUGGCGAAGGCACUCUACUGGGCUAUUACUGACACUCAGAGACGAAAGCUAGGGGAGCAAAUGGG
rnacentral:rRNA from 1 species